rnacentral:rRNA from 2 species
GUCGAGCGAACUGAUUAGAAGCUUGCUUCUAUGACGUUAGCGGCGGACGGGUGAGUAACACGUGGGCAACCUGCCUGUAAGACUGGGAUAACUCCGGGAAACCGGAGCUAAUACCGGAUAACAUUUUCUCUUGCAUAAGAGAAAAUUGAAAGAUGGUUUCGGCUAUCACUUACAGAUGGGCCCGCGGUGCAUUAGCUAGUUGGUGAGGUAACGGCUCACCAAGGCAACGAUGCAUAGCCGACCUGAGAGGGUGAUCGGCCACACUGGGACUGAGACACGGCCCAGACUCCUACGGGAGGCAGCAGUAGGGAAUCUUCCGCAAUGGACGAAAGUCUGACGGAGCAACGCCGCGUGAGUGAUGAAGGCUUUCGGGUCGUAAAACUCUGUUGUUAGGGAAGAACAAGUACAAGAGUAACUGCUUGUACCUUGACGGUACCUAACCAGAAAGCCUCGGCUAACUACGUGCCAGCAGCCGCGGUAAUACGUAAGUGGCAACUGUUAUCCGGAAUUAUUGGGCGUAAAGCUGCGCUGUCAGGCGGUUUUCCU